GACGAACGCUGGCGGCGUGCUUAACACAUGCAAGUCGAACGAUGAAGCCGGAGCUUGCUCUGGUGAAUUAGUGGCGAACGGGUGAGUAACACGUGAGUAACCUGCCCUUGACUCUGGGAUAACUGCGGGAAACUGUAGCUAAUACCGGAUACGACCCUCGGAGGCAUCUCCUGGGGGUGGAAAGAAUUUCGGUCAAGGAUGGACUCGCGGCCUAUCAGCUAGUUGGUGAGGUAAAGGCUCACCAAGGCGACGACGGGUAGCCGGCCUGAGAGGGUGACCGGCCACACUGGGACUGAGACACGGCCCAGACUCCUACGGGAGGCAGUAGUGGGGAAUAUUGCACAAUGGGCGCAAGCCUGAUUCAGCAACGCCGCGUGAGGGAUGACGGCCUUCGGGUUGUAAACCUCUUUUAGCAGGGAAGAAGCGAAAGUGACGGUACCUGCAGAAAAAGCACCGGCUAACUACGUGCCAGCCGCCGCGGUAA
rnacentral:rRNA from 1 species